rnacentral:lncRNA from 1 species
GCUAAUAAAGAAAAGAUUAUUAUCACUUAAUGUAGUUGCUUACAUUACAAUCACCACACUUACUAGAUCGAUGCAAAGACUCACUUUCUGAAUUCAUGCAUUAUCCUAGACCUAAACCUGCCAUUAAUCUAACAGUGUUGGAACCCAAGGUGAUUCAACUGACAAAUACACAUACAUUAUGCUAUUAACGACUUCCCAUCACAAGCUUAGUAAACUACAACUGAUCAUCUGUAUUAAUAAGAACUUUGAAUACUUAGAUUUUGUAAAGAAAAGAUACUAAAGAACAACACAUUAAUGUUAACACCUAAUCAGAAUUGAAACUAAUAAUUACAAACCCAAACAUAAUGGCAAAUGAUAACACCAAAUAAGAGAUCUGGAAGUUCAUUUCCCACUCAAACAUAUUAAAGCUUCAGCUUGUUAUUUCAAAGCUCAACGAAUAUACCUGGAUAUAGCAAUAGAAACAAAAGAAAAUUUAGCCGGAUGAACAAACCAGGAGACCAACAGCGGCACAAUAGUGAUCAGCAACAAUUCAACCAGCUCAGUCUAUGUUUAGAGCCCAAAACCAGCAAAGUAAUGAAGCUCUUUUGAAAACCCAGAAAGAAUAAACAUCAGCUGACCAAUGGAAUAGUAUUUGGGAUCCCUUUUAGUGUUUUUUUCUAAAUCUAAACAAUCCUAUCAGUGUGUGUGUUUUUGAGUGUUCUAAGUGCAGAGAAUAAUGCUGAGAAGUCUGUAUUCUUUUUGAAGGAAGAUGUUUCAGUUGUUUGGGUACUUCUUCUAUGCUAUCCCCUUAAAGAAUGAGUGAAACAGGCCUUAUAUAGAAAGAUUCUAGGGCUGAUGCACCUGAUUUUAUUCACUCAUUAUUACUUCUCUUCAAUUCCCUUUUGUUCAUUUCAAACCCCAAACUUUAAACCUAUUUGUUAAAUCAGCCUCUUUUCCCAUUUUCGUAGAACCUUCCUAGGUGGUUAUGAAAGAUUCUUUCAAUCUAAAUCCCCUAAAUACCCUUUGACUUUCUGUUAUUUACCUUUAAGAAAAAUACCAGCAAUUGGGCUAUAUAGCCAAACAUGCUCAAACCUACCCUUGGGCUUCUGUACUAACAAGCCCAAACUGAAUCCCAAACCAUAAUCAAGAAUGAAUUCAAUUGAAAACUUAAGCAAACAUCCUCUGAAUUAAACGAAAAACGGACUCUAAAAGAAACACUCGAAAGACAAUAAUUUAUUAACAAAUACAAUUAAACUAAUUGUUAAGCUACUGAGAUGGCGAUUCAAACAACCUUAAAUAAACACUGAAAUUAACAGAACAAUUUAAAACUGGAAUCAUGCAAAGUGAAAAACUCAAAACCUAGAUAUGCUAAAGCACGAAAAUUAAGGAAAAUAGAAAGGGGUAUUGGUUAUUACCUAAACAAAUGUGGAAGAAAGCUUUAAGAAGCACCGACCGAACAAAAGGGGUUCGAAUAACUCCUGGAUGACCCAAAAUGAACGCUAAUCGGUUGUUCUUGCCAAGAACAAUCGACUAGCAUGAAUCUUUAGCCAAUACGAGCCUUGUAAAACCAACAAACGGUUAAAAGAGAAACAAACUCAAUCUUUUCUGUUUUUUGUUAGAUCCGGCUCUAAGAGCAUUUGAUGGGGAUUUUGGGAAAUAUGGUGGUGGAUUAGGAAAUAGGGGUGGGUGGUGAUUAUGUGGUAAGAACUUGGGGUCGAUUGGGUCGCACCGCCGGCCGGUGGGGGUUUGGGACUUUGGGGCGGCUAGGUUGAAUUAGUGUUUGGGUGAGGGGAACUGACUGGGGUUCGAAAUGAGGGGGGGGGGGAGCUUAGGUUAGGAUAAUUUUAUAUUAGGGGUGGCUUGAGUUCCGGGCCGUUGGAUCAUUGACAUCCAACGACUGAGAUGAUGCAGCUCAAAACAGUGUCUUUUGUAAAAAGCUGGACCGGGUUACCAGGUUGGGCCUGGGGCGGAUUGGGCCAAAAAAUUGGUUUGAGUCCAAUUAAACACAACCUCUUUUCUAAUUCUCUUUUUUUUCCUUUUUCAAUUGCUUUUCUCUUCCUUCUUCUUUAAUUAAUUAAAACCUAAAUUAAAUUAAUCUUCAAAAUUAAGCUAAUUAUCUACUAUAAUAUUUAUAAAAAUUAAUUAAUCCUAGAUUAAAAGAGGAAAUAACUAAUCUAAAAAUUAAAAAGUUAAAAAUGCAAAAGUAAGCCAAUUUUUGUGAUUUUCAUUUUUAAAUAAAACAACUAAUUUACUAAUUAAUCCUAAAAAUAUAAAAAAUGAAACCUAAUCAAUGCAUGGUGUUUUUGGCAUUUUCAUGAUUUUAACAAAAAUAAACAUGCAUAAAAAUGCAAACAAUUAGCACAAAAUCCCACAAAAUUGUAAAAAAUGGAAAACAUUAUUUUUCUUGUAUUUUAUGGGAGUAAAUUCCUAUAGGGCAAAAACCACGUGCUCACAAAGGUCGAAUCUUCAAUCAAAAGCCCAAAAUCAACCCAAAAGUCCAACCCCAACCCGCACCUCGGAACUUGACAAAACUCACAAAAUCUGACAACCUAUUCAAUUACGAGCCCAACCAUACUAGUCUCAUUCAAAUCCGACUCUGAAUCGAUGUUCAAAACUAAAAAUAUUCACUCUAUGAAACUUUAGGCAAAACCCCCUCAAAUUCCUCUCUUGAAACCCUCAAUCAAAUGCCAAAAACGAAGAUAGAUUUAUAACAUAAAAUCAAAAAUAAGUUGAGAACACUUACCCCAAUCCACAUGGUGAAAAUUACUUCAAGAAUCGUCUCAAUCCGAGCUCUAUAGCUCCAAAUUCGUAAAAAUGGCCGAAACUCGCGAAAUAGAGUACUUUAUAAUCACUGGACAAAUAUAUGAGCUGAGAUCGCGGAAAUACCCUUGCGAUCGCAAAGAAGAAAAUGCACUGCCCUGAAAAUAUACUACGCGAUCGCGCACAACCUUUAGUGAUCGCGAUAAACGAGCAACACUGCCUCCAUAAAAACUUUACGCGAUCGUGAAUUGAACCAGGCAAACGCGAAGCACACAGGUUUCUAGCCUUCACAAACGUGUUACCUCUUAAGCAAACGCGUAUAAGAAAUUCCAAAUUCCCAGCUACCCAUCCUUAACACUCUGCGAACGCUGCCUACACUAUGGUACGCGAUCGCGGUCCUCCAAUCGCGACCGCGAUUUAGAAUCUUCCAACUCCAAGUUUUUUCCACAAUGCGAUCGCAUCACAUACUUCGCGAUCGCGUAAGCCAAUCGAGGCACUAGAAACCAGAACACACCAGCAUGGAAACAUGAAGAAAAAUAGCCCGAAAUUAAUCCGAAACACGCUGAGCCCCUCGGGACCAUGUCCAAACUUUCCAACAAGUCUCGUAACUUAACACAGACCUACUCAAGGCCUCAAAUCAUGCAUAACAACAUCCAAACGAUCAAUCGCACCUCGAAUCAAACUUAAAUGAUUUGAACUUUCAAUUUCCAAAACUCGCGCCGAAACAUAUAAGAUCGACCCGGAAUGACCCAAAAUUUGCACACAAGUCCCAAAUAACAUAAUAAAGUUAUUCAAAUUUCCGGAACCACAAUCCUAUAUCCUUAAAGUCAAAUCUCAGUCAAAUUUAUAAACUUUUCCAAACCUUUAAAUUUCAAUCUUCGCCAAUUAGUGCUGAAUCCUUCUAAAAAUAUCCAAUUGCAAAUCCUGACAUAUGUCCGAGUCUAAAAUCACCGUCCGGACGUAACGGAACCAUAAAACUCCGUUCUGAGGUCAAAUUCACAAAAAGACAAACUUGGUCAACUCUUCCAACUUAAAGCUUCAACAAUGAAAUUCAUUCUUCCAAAUCGAUUCCAAAUAACCUGAAAACCAAAACCAACGAUUCACACACGUAUAAUACAUCAUACAGAACUACUCACGCCCUUAAAUUGCCGAGCGAAGUGUAAAUGCUCAAAAUGACCGGUCGAAUCGUUACAGGUUCCUAUAAUACUUCAUUAUAACUUCGAAUAAACUUUAUUAACAUGCUAUUCAUACUCAGUUUUGUAACUCUAACCAAAUGUCAGUUGAAUUCUUUUCUGACUAUUUUCUUUGUGAAGGAUCAAUUCACUGAGGAGAUUCUAUUCAAAGGCCAACUUGAUCAAUCCUUAUACAAGCUUCUGUCAUCUUUAUUUUCUCAUAAUCCUGUCUGCUUCAACAUUCGAGUUUCAUCAGCCUCCUAGAAUCAACGCCUUGGCCAUCCUAGCGCUAGGAUUUUAAUUUUAUUUGUUCAAGUUUCAAUUACAUGUAUCUUCUAUUAAAGCAUCUCUUUGUAUUCCAUGCUAACGCAAUAAAAAUCAUCGUCAAUAGUUUGGCGUUUCUUCUCUAAGUAGCAGACUAGCAGUAGACCUCUUGAACUGUUAUAUUUUGAUUUAUGCAGUCUUGCCCCAGUGCAAUCAAUUGAAGGGUUUCGUUAUUAUAUCAUAUUUGUGGAUCAUUACACAAAGUACAUAUGGUCCUUUCCUUUGAAAGCAAAAUCUGAUGUGUAUAAUAUUUUCCCAACAUUCCAAAAACUCGUUGAGAAUACCUUUGAUGUCACCAUAAAAUCAAUUUACACUUACGGGGAUGGGGAAUAUAUUGCACUCAAAAAAUAUUUUUCAAUCUUGUGGAAUAAAUUACCUGCAAAUGCCACCUCACACUCUACAACACAAUGGGGCUGCUGAACGUCGUCAUCGUCAUUUAGUAGAAACUGGCCUCACAUUACUGCAAAUAGUUUACCUCCCUUCUUCCUACACCAGUUCUUCCAUUCUCCUCUCCUUAUCAAAAGCUUUUUAGUCGUUCUCCCAAUUAUGAAUCCUUGCGUGUCUUUGGAUGCCU